GUUGGUGUACUGGUCCAAAGUUCUAAGUGUGUCUAGAAAGGAAUCGUUUAGUAAACGUUUCCGGGACUUCGGUUCCUAUAACCCUAAUUUUUAUGUUCCUGAAUUUCAAAUUUCUCAUAGACAAAAUGAGAUUUUUGUGGUGUCCGUAAUUAUAAUCACUUAUAUACUUCUACAUGUGGUUUUAAUUGUUUCUCUUUUCAAAACUCCGUUAUCCUCUCAAUUUUCUGCAUUUUAUUCUCUUCCCUGUAACGAACAAAUGAAACCCUUGUUUUCUUCUCAAUCAAAAAUCAUCAAAUUUCUCUCUGUUCUGCAACAAAUCAAGCAACGCAGUUACGCGCAGAGAGAAUAAUGAACUUCGGGAUUCCAUUCACCGAGAAAGAUCUGAGUUUUUUGUGUUCGAUUUAACCGCUCUCGGCGACAAUUUUCCUGAAGGAGAACAUUACUUUGGCCUUGAGAAUUUUGGCAAUACUUGUUAUUGCAACAGCGUUUUGCAGGCUCUAUACUUCUGUGUUCCAUUUUGAGAACAAUUGCUACGGUAAGAAACAAAAACACAACAGAUGCAGAGGAAAAUCUUUUAACUUGCCCAGCUGAACUAUUUUCGCAGGUACAUGAUGUUGAUGUUAGAUACUUACAUGGAUGAAGCAACCCAGUCCAACAAAUUAGUAACUUAAUUAGUAACUUAUUAACCGCACUCAGACCCAUUAAUUUUUAUCCCAGAUUUUAUGUAAAAACGUUGUAAGAAUGCCAGACUGGUUUGCCCUUGUGACCAUCCAAAUAUAGAAUAGGGUCAUUUGCAAAUUCUAGCUAAGUAACGUACAUUCCUUUAGAUCUAGUUCUCUAGACCAUCUCUGUAUGUUGUUUAUCGUUAUGAUUUAGACACCCACUGUAAUAGUGUAAAAUGUCACACGGGAACUGGGCGAAGACCCAUAAUUCAUUCUUCAUGUGUCUGUUGAAGCCUUUUCUCUCUAAGUUGUUACCAUGGAAAUUUCACACCCUAUUAUUGUAUUGUCGAAGUUUAUGAAAACAUGACUAGCUACUUGUUUUGUAGUGCCUAAGAUCUGUUUCCUUAGUUACAUUUUUGUUCCUUUUUGUCCGCCGUUGUGUUUCGUUCUUUUUUGUUUCCGUUUUACAAGAGCUUUGCAGGCAGUAGUAAUGCCUGUCUAAAUCUUUGAUGAACUAUACUUGAGUAUACAGUUCUUUACAUGCUGAAUAUCUCACUUUUAACAAUUCAGUUAUGGGGAAUUUGAUUGCCAAAAAUGAAGAUGAAUAUGUUAAAUUGGCCAUUAAGUUAUCCUAUGACAUUCUGAAACAUGGCACACAGUGAACAGAUGCUACUCAAGAUGCUACAACAACUGUUGUAGCAAUAUAAACGCUAAAUAUAAUAAAGCAAUAAACAACAGUAAAGUAAAUAACACAGAUCGUUUGUUAGUUCAGUGCAACAUCACCUACUCUAGGGGAUACCAAUCCAGGAAUGAAUCCACUAUAAUAGUUCUAGUUCAAAGCCCUCGACCAACACCCGAUACUUGACUUAUCGCCUAGACACUACCCGUGCAAUCCUACCUAGGAACCUGCUAGAUAUGAGGCCCCGUCCCAAUUCCUUCAAACAACACUCACAGUGUUGCUGUCAACUUUAUAACGAUCAAAGAUGGAGACACUCUCCUAAGAAACUAGACUUCACUCUCGCUUAAAAGCUCUCGAGUGAAACACAAUUAAAAAACACAAACUAACUCCGUACUUCAAAGCUUAGGAGUAGUCCACAAUUAAAACCCAAGACACAAUCCUAAACUUGCAUCAAAGUUGAAAUUCCAGCACGCAGUGGACAGAUGCUACGCAAGAUGCUACAGCAACUGUCGUAGCAAUAUAAAAGCUGAGGAUAAUAAAGACAAUAAACAACAAUAAUGAAAAUAACACAGAUCGUUUGUUAACCCAGUUCAGUGCAACGUCACCUACUCUGGGGAUACCAAUCCAUGAAUGAAUCUACUAUAAUAGUUCUAGUUCAAAGCUCUCGACCAACACCCGGUACUCGACUUAUCGCCUAAACACUACCCGUGCAAAUCCUACCUAGGAACCUCCUAGAUAUGAGACCCCGUCCCAAUUCCUUCUAACAACACCAGCAACGUUGUUAUUACUUAAUAACGAUCAAUGAUGGAGACACUCUCCUAAGAAACUAGACUUCACUCUCGCUUAAAAGCUCUGGAGUGAAACACAAUUAAAAACACAAACUAACUCCGUACUUCAAAGUUUUUUUUUUUUU